rnacentral:rRNA from 1 species
ACUAAAUAGAUACCCCGGUAGUCCACGCCCUAAACGAUGUCUACUAGUUGUCGGGUCUUAAUUGACUUGGUAACGCAGCUAAACGCGUGAAAGUAGACCGCCUGGGGAGUACGGUCGCAAGAUUAAAACUCAAAGGAAUUAGACGGGGUACCCGCGACAAGCGGUGGAUGAUGUGGAUUAAUUCGAUGCAACGCGAAAAACCUUACCUACCCUUGACAUGGAAGGAAUCCCUGAGAGAUCGGGGAGUGCUCGAAAGAGAACCUUUACACAGGUGCUGCAUGGCUGUCGUCAGCUCGUGUCGUGAGAUGUUGGGUUAAGUCCCGCAACG